UGGAUAGCAUUCUCACCCUACAUGAAAC
rnacentral:piRNA from 1 species